CUCCAGUUGACGAGUCCCAAAUAGGACGAAACUUGCGUCCUGAAU
rfam:Schistosoma mansoni strain Puerto Rico chromosome 2, complete genome